GGUUCUUUAGCUCAGUUGGUCAGAGCUAACGGUUCAUAACCGUUCGGUCGCUGGUUCGAGUCCAGCAAGAACCA
rnacentral:tRNA from 2 species